UACAGAGGGGGCAAGCGUUGUUCGGAAUUACUGGGCGUAAAGGGCGCGUAGGCGGAUUGCUAAGUCAGGGGUGAAAUCCUGGAGCUCAACUCCAGAACUGCCUUUGAUACUGGCGACCUUGAGUCCGGGAGAGGUGAGUGGAACUGCGAGUGUAGAGGUGAAAUUCGUAGAUAUUCGCAAGAACACCAGUGGCGAAGGCGGCUCACUGGCCCGGUACUGACGCUGAGGUGCGAAAGCGUGGGGAGCAAACAGG
rnacentral:rRNA from 1 species